AACGAACGCUGGCGGCAUGCCUAACACAUGCAAGUCGAACGAAGGCUUCGGCCUUAGUGGCGCACGGGUGCGUAACGCGUGGGAAUCUGCCCUUUGGUUCGGAAUAACAGCUGGAAACGGCUGCUAAUACCGGAUGAUGACGAAAGUCCAAAGAUUUAUCGCCAGAGGAUGAGCCCGCGUUGGAUUAGGUAGUUGGUGGGGUAAAGGCCUACCAAGCCGACGAUCCAUAGCUGGUCUGAGAGGAUGAUCAGCCACACUGGGACUGAGACACGGCCCAGACUCCUACGGGAGGCAGCAGUGGAGAAUAUUGGACAAUGGGCGCAAGCCUGAUCCAGCAAUGCCGCGUGAGUGAUGAAGGCCCUAGGGUUGUAAAGCUCUUUUACCCGGGAAGAUAAUGACUGUACCGGGAGAAUAAGCCCCGGCUAACUCCGUG
rnacentral:rRNA from 1 species